rnacentral:lncRNA from 1 species
UGGGAAAGUAUGUACAAGUGCAGCUGCACUGACUUUAAUUUUCUAGAUGUCUUAAUGAGAUUUAUUUGUUUUAGAGAAGAACAUCUUGUUAAAAGCAUCAAACUCUGUCUUACAUAGCUGUCAACAGCCUCUUUAAGAUGUGGUGGUUGUAUGAUCUGUGUCUUAAUUGUUCAGUUAGAGUGAGAAGUUGACCUAUGAUUCAUUUUUAAAUUUUAUAUUUGGAACAAAGCUGCAAGUUAUGGUAAAGUACUGUACUGUGAGAAGUAUUAUGAUAUUUAAUGCAUCUGUGGCUUAACACUUGUGAGAGUUACCAGCUUGAAAAUGAUGGUGUUGACUACCUCUUGAAUCACAUCUAUCAACCACUGGCACCUACCACCAAGCUGGCUUCAAUUAGUAUGUGUUGCUUUUUGGUAUUAACAACUAACCGUACUAGAGACCAAAGUGAACCCUGAUUUUUAUAUGUCUUUAAUAAUGGUGUUUUAUCUAGUGUUUUUAAAUUAUCCUGUGUAGUAUUUAGAUUACCUCAUUGUCCAUUUUGACUCAUGUUGUUUACAAGUGAAAAUAAAAACACUUGAACUGUAUGUUUUUAAAAGACAAAAAAGGGGUAGAUGUUUGGAAUGCGUUUCACUCGCAUGCAGUCAUCUGGAGGGACUGAAGCACUGUUUGCCUUUCUGUACACUCUGGGUUUUAUAUUCUCAUUUCAUGCCUAAUGUCUUAUUCUGUCAAUUAUGGAUAUGUUGAGGUUUAAAAAAAUUACUUGAUUAAAAAUAAAACAUAUAACGUUGGCA